UUUUUACCAACUGUAAAAAAUUAAUAAGAUGAAAUCACAUCGAUCUAUAUAUUUCUAGAGUUUAGAUUAAUUAUUAAUAAUUAUAUCAAAGUGUUACCUUAUAAUUUGAUUUGAACAAAAAAAAAAAAAAGAAAAAAAAUAAUAAAAUCUGUUAAUUAAAAAAAGUUGCAGGCUUGAAUAUCUCGUUGGUCGGAUUACUUUCACUUUUAUAACGGGUGAUUCAUCAAUUCAUCAAUUUUUACGGAAAAAAAUCCAACCUGUAGAAGCCCUAAAUCGGCCCUACGGUCAAAAAGGUUCAUUUUUUACGUCCAACAAUUUCUACCGUUGACUUCGAUAGGACAGAGUUAAAAUUUAAAUAUUCCAAUGCAUGCGUAGAAUAAAAAUUGCUAAAACUAUUAUUUUAACAAGAUAUUCAUUUUUUCUUUUUUCUUUUUAGUUAUUUGCGCGAGACCAGCCCUCAGUGUCUAAUGUUAGGUUUCUUAUUUAUAGGUUGAAGUAAAUAAUGAAACACUGCAUUAUACUUAUGACUAAUGAAUCUCUGGACAAUACAGAUAUAUGAUCAUAGGCAAAUAUCAUUAAUAUAUUGAGAGGAGAAAUAA